rnacentral:lncRNA from 1 species
AAAGGGGUGAUGGCGGCGCAGGGCGGGCCCCACUCCCCUGGGCUGCCUGCGUCCGCCCGCCCCGCUGAGAGCUCGCUGAGCCCUAGGCCGGGUCCGAGUCUCGCGGGCGCGCCGUCCGCGCAGUGCUCAGCCAGGACGGACCCCGCACGGGCUGCCUCAGAAGCCCUCCCUAAGGGUCACCUGAGACGCCUUUGCUGACCCACGGCUGGGGGCGUUCCGCAUCUCCAGGGUGCCCUGCGGCUGCUGACUCGGGGCCGGCGCUGCCCUCGGGCGGCCUCCCAGCACCAAGCACAGCCGCCCUGGGACCCCCGCCCUGCCACGCGGACGGCCACCCGGCCCUGGGGCCCUCCUACCCAGCCGGCUUUGUGAAAUCAGCUGUGAAAGGAAGAUAUCCUGGGCCCCCAAGAUCACUAAGGAAAACUCCAGCAGGAAACUGCUUAGGGCAGGCCUGCUUCCCAUUCCAUUCAAAGUCACUCCUCUGCUCACUUAGAUAGAUACAUAUCUGAUUUGCCUCCUUUGAAAAGGCAAAUGAGAAACUCAAAAGAAUUUAACCGUUGGUGUCUCACCUAUCUGUGGCCUGGACGCUCCCUCCCCGCUUGGAGUCUUCCUGCCUUUGCUUCAAGUUGUCCCGUCUUUCCAGACCGAACCGAUGUGCUUCUUACAUGUAUCGAUGGAUGUAUCCUGUCUCCCUAAAUGUAUAAAACCAAGCUGUGCCCCGACCACCUUGGGCACAUGUCAGGACUUCCUGAGGCUGUGUCACGGGCGCGUCCUCACCCUUGGCAAAAUAAACUUUGUAAAUUAACUGAGACCUGUCUCCCAUUUUCUGGGUUCACACAGCCCAUUGCCCAAACUUCGCGUGGGGCUUUGCAGAUAGGCUGUAGCUGCAGAACCCUUUCUUCAAGCACAGCCAUGCAAGCCGCCUCAUAUGUGCAAGUGCCAGCGUCGCUGGGGCGGACGAGUGGGCCUGGGUCUCCGGUUCCCGCCUCCCUCCUAACUCGGCAUUCCUCCCCAGACCCUGGAGCUCCACUUAGGAGCAGAGUUUGAAAACCAAAGGCCGGUGCCUUCACCACGUUAUGUGGUCCCAGGGAGACCUCACUUCUCUUGUUGAUCCAUGGUCCUGGAUCCACGGACCUGAGGUGGCCCACCACCUCAUGACCUUCAUGGGGCUCUCAGUGUCCUUCCACCUGAGAGCUUGUGGUUAUUUGUGACUGUUUCAAAUUACAGAAGCCCUGGAGUCAUCCUUGACUCUCUUCCUACUGCCAGGGGACACGUCCUCCAUACAUCCCUCCUUGCCCUGUCCCAGCUCCCCUCACCUCUCCCCACCCCUCCCACCAUUCCCCUGGGCUCUGGCGAGUGGUCCUCCUAAAACAGGUGAUCACAUCACUGCUGUCUUCAGACACUCCCUUUGUUCCUGGACCCAACUGAGGGUCGGGCUACUACUUCUCCUGGCCCAAUAACAAGAUGCAAAUGAGCUGGAGAGUAAGAGAGG